GUCGAACGCUGGCGGCGUGCCUAAUACAUGCAAGUAGAACGUAGUUGCGAACGGGUGAGUAACGCGUCGGGACCUGCCUCAUUGCGGGGGUUAACCAUUGGAAACGUUAGCUAAUACCGCAUAUUGUGAGACGGACCGUCGUUGUAGUUACUAGUUGGGGAGGUAAAGGCACACCAAGGCGACGAUACAGUGCCGACCUGAGGGGGAGAUCCGCCAAGAGGGGACUUAGACACGGCCCAAACUCCCUCGGGAGGCAGCAGUAGGGGAUCAUAGGGAAAGGACGGAAGUCUGACCGAACAAAGCCGCGUGAGUGGAGGAGGUUUUCGGAUCGUUAAGCUCUGUUGUUAGAGGAGCGGUAACUUACCAGGAAGAGACGGCUAACUACGUGCCAGCAGCCGCGGUAAUAC
rnacentral:rRNA from 1 species